UACGUAGGGUGCGAGCGUUGUCCGGAAUUAUUGGGCGUAAAAGGGCUCGUAGGCGGUUUGUCGCGUCGGGAGUGAAAACACGGGGCUUAACCCCGUGCCUGCUUCCGAUACGGGCAGACUAGAGGUAUGCAGGGGAGAACGGAAUUCCUGGUGAGCGGUGAAAUGCGCAGAUAUCAGGAGGAACACCGGUGGCGAAGGCGGUUCUCUGGGCAUGACCUGACGCUGAGGAGCGAAAGUGUGGGGAGCGAACAGG
rnacentral:rRNA from 1 species